ensembl:snoRNA small nucleolar RNA SNORD2
GUGUGACAUGAUGGCAUACCAUCUUUCGGGACUGACUCUUGUCAUGGAGAGUUCCUUUUUGUUUUACUGAUCACUU